rnacentral:ncRNA from 2 species
UACAAUCGCCCCACCAAAGGUGCUCUGUAAAGAGAUAAUCGGGAAGUCUGGUGUGUAUUUGAAUCCAGCGCUGCCCCCGCAUCGGUAAUUAAGCUAGAUUCGCCAUAACCACUGUGCCACGGCAUGGGAAGGGGUGAACCGAGGAGAGAUCCGCUUAUGAGCCCGAAGACCGGCCAUUGGUUUCAUUCACAG